rnacentral:lncRNA from 1 species
AUGAAUUCGCAGGCCCAUAUUCUGGGGACUUGGGUCGGGGUAGGAACGCAUGUGAACUGGCUUGUGGCCAGUCUCACUGUCGCCUUACCAAGUUCUGCCUGUCAGAGUCAUUUGGGUUACGAUGACUUCGAACUGUUUAACGAUGGGGUCAUGUGCCUGGAAUGUGCGGAAGACACUUUGCAACACGCCCCAAGACUCGUACAUAGAGAUAUUGGCGCCCUAUUUUAGGUUUCAUUGAUGUCAA